CCCAGGAACAUGAGACUCAUAAUGUUAUCUCCGUGGCACAAGCUGCUGAGGAGUAUAAGGAUCAAAUUUUAAGUUGCAUUGAGAGUCUAAGGAAGGAGAAAGAAGUGAUUAGGGAGCAUCUCUCAGACACAUAUAAACAAAGUCAAGACCUGAUUCAACUAGUUGGAGCGGAGGAAAAGAAAGUGGUGGAUGGAUUCAAUCAUCUGCGUCAACUUGUAUUAGAACAAAGCACCUUUUGGCUUACUAAGGUUGAAGAAGUAAAGAUGG